UACAGAGGUCUCAAGCGUUGUUCGGAUUCAUUGGGCGUAAAGGGUGCGUAGGCGGCGCGGUAAGUCGGGUGUGAAAUCUCGGAGCUUAACUCCGAAACUGCAUUCGAUACUGCCGUGCUUGAGGACUGGAGAGGAGACUGGAAUUUACGGUGUAGCGGUGAAAUGCGUAGAUAUCGUAAGGAAGACCAGUGGCGAAGGCGGGUCUCUGGACAGUUCCUGGCGCUGAGGCACGAAGGUCAGGGGGAGCAAACGGG
rnacentral:rRNA from 1 species